UGUGCCCAGAUGGGAUUAGCUAGUAGGUGGGGUAACGGCUCACCUAGGCGACAAUCCCUAGCUGGUCUGAGAGGAUGACCAGCCACACUGGAACUGAGACACGGUCCAGACUCCUACGGGAGGCAGCAUG
rnacentral:rRNA from 1 species